UACAGAGGUGGCAAGCGUUGUUCGGAAUUACUGGGCGUAAAGGGCGCGUAGGCGGUCUUGUAAGUCUUGUGUGAAAUCCCUCGGCUCAACCGGGGAACUGCGUCUGAUACUGGAUGGCUUGAAUUCGGGAGAGGGAUGCAGAAUUCCAGGUGUAGCGGUGAAAUGCGUAGAUAUCAGGAGGAACACCGGUGGCGAAGGCGGGUCUCUGGGCCGAUACUGACGCUGAGGAGCGAAAGCGUGGGGGAGCGAACAGG
rnacentral:rRNA from 1 species